CUUACAAAUAUUACGUGUAGAUAUUGUAUUAUUAUCGCUUUCGGUUAGAAUAUUGAAUGCGUUCCGAGUGUUUGAGCAACAAGUCUUGCGUCCAGUCAAAAAACACACACAACAAAAACAUCAAGCAGCCGAGUAUCAGAUUCCUAUCAAAAAUUUGCCACACACUUUCCAUGGAUCACAAGGUUGAAUCAUUGAACAUGCAAACGUAGGCAACCAACACAACACCACACACACACAGCAUGCUCGAAAAUGUUUACGGUUAUGUUCAACGUGCAGUUUACACACAACAAUACAACAAAAAAAAAACAAGGGAAUGUAGUGGAUUGAUUCCACGUUUGCUUGGAAUAUCUCCUCACGUGAAUUUGAAAUCAAAUCGGUUGACUCAUCUCUGCACUCGUGUUUAGUCACAGUCAACACAUCAUCAUCAUAAAAGCUUUGCAAACCUUCGUCUAGAUAUCUCAUCUCUGCGCAACGCAACAGAAAUCAUCUAAGUAGAAAUAUAGAUAUAGAUAUAAAUUCAACCAAAAGAGGUCGUUGCCGGCACGAGUCGCCGAGUGUGCGGCAGGUGAGACUAUGCGGAACUUCCGGCACAUCCAUCAGGAGAUUCGGGACUGGUGCUUGCAUAGCCGGUACAGGCAUAUGCUCCUUGCUCAAAUAAGCACCGAAACCUCCGUCGUCAUUCAAACUCAGAUGCUCCACGACGGCUUGAUUCAUCCUGGGCGGUGAGUGGUGAUUGGAAUCACAUAAAAUUCAAUGCGGAAAGCGGGAAAUGAUGAAGAUGUCGAGUGUGCCGGGUGGCGAGGGAAUUGAUUGGUGGCGACGCCUCAAACUAACUGUGUGUCUGGAAAAUUCGAGGGAGGUUGAGGGAAAGUUGGUGAGAAGGACAUCUAGUGGUGGAAAAUUGAUGUUUUUAUUUAAAACAUAUAAAAUUUGUUUGUUGUUAAGGAUUUUAAGGAAGAAAAGUGAGUAUUUUAGGUGUUAAAAGUUUAAAAUUUAGGUUAAAUAUAUUUUAAAGGUUAGAAAAUGUG